rnacentral:lncRNA from 1 species
GGAAAACAUACACAUAGACAAGAUUACAUAAUAAAAUUUUAAAAUGUAAAUUGUAAGACUAGUAUUUUGGGUUCAAUUCUAAACUCUACAAAAUGUAAUAAGCGGCGUGUACAAUGUACAUAACAUGUAAGCAUAACCAAACACAAUUUUCAAGGAUGCCAAGAAUUAGAAAGCUACUGGAAGAGGGGCACCCAAAGGGAUUCCCAUAGGUAUAAGUAUAAGCAUAACCAAACACAAUUUUCAAGGGUGCAAGAAUUAAAAAGCUGAAGGAAGGGUCAUGUACUCUAAAAAAAAAUUAGUUCUUAGUAUGUUAGUAUUUUGUUGUGGGUGAGACUCCACCUUCAACCUCCUUCACCCUACCAUCAAACCACCUUAUAACUCCCAUUUUAUGUUGAUGGUGGGACUCGAAUCCACAAUCUCCUGCACUUCAUUCUCUACGAUCAUUUAACAAGAAGAAAAAUUGAAAAUUUGGCCCCCUGUAUUUAUUGAGUAUUUAGGUUGUUCAAACUUCAAACCUUGCAAUCUGAGCAAAGUAACCAAGCUGAACAUUUUAUGCUAAUUCCAUGUGAUCUAGUUAGUGGCUUGCUUUCUUGUUAAGCAAGAAGAAACAUGAGCUCAUCAACUUUGAAGUUUGAACAUGGAAAAAUUGUUUAGAUUCUUCAUUGCUCCUAGAACAU